UGGCUCUGACAUUGAAGCGUUCCCACAGAUGCUGCCUCUCACAUGGGCAGCAUUCAGACUUCAGCGUCUCUCAAUGGCCUUCCUGACUCCAACCUGCAUCUCACCCUGAUUUUCUUCCUGCUCCGGGAACUAGGCUUUGGGCUUCACUCUGCUCUCUCGUGGUGUUCCGAACCAUGCACUCUGAAUGCCUUCUUUGGCUUUGUAUUUCCUGCCUGCUGAUGACCACUUACAGCAGUUCAAUCCCAUACAGGGUCCAGGGCAGGCCAAAUAGGUGGAGAACAGUCCAGAACAGUCCAUGCAUCUGACAAGUGCAUGGAUUUACCCAUCUGGAAUACAACAUUCAGCAGCUACAGAACAAAAACCAUGUGCAACUGGACAGCAAUAAAUAUCCAGAAGACCCGAUACAACCAAAAUGGCAUUGAAGGAUCUGUCAAGAUCAACAGCAAGAGAACACUGGGACAGCAGCGCUCCGCUGGAGACAGAAACAGCCCACCAUGGAUGAACACAGCAGGGAAGGGGCACUGCCCCGCCAUCUGGAAGGUGAUGUGGAGAAGGCAUCACAGGCCUACACAGGUUCUUUCAUUGUUCUGGUGCGUCCUCUGGGUCAUGGACGGGGAAGAACACCCUGGAGGGUCAAGGCCACCUGCCCAGCAGUCUAGACCAGGUGAGUGUUUUCAGUGGUGAGGUAAGGGGAGGACGAGGCAUCAUCUUUGGGUUGUAAGAAAUUGAAACCCACUCAUACUAACUUGAGAAAAAGAAAGAAAAGAAAAACAAACACGUGGGGCGCCUGGGCGGCUCAGUAGAUUAAGCCUCCGACUUCAGCUCAGGUCAUGAUCUCAUGGUUUGUGGGUUCGAGCCCCGCGUCAGGCUCUGUGCUGACAGCUCAGAGCCUGGAGCCUGCUUUGGAUUCUGUGUCUCUGGCUCUCUCUGCCCCUCCCCUGCUCGUGCUCGGUCUGUCUCUCUGUCUCAAAAAUAAAUAAACAUUAAAAUUUUUUUUUAAAAAAAGAAAAACAAACAAGAAAGGGGGUGUUUCUUUAAAGAAGUCAGGCAUUUCGCAGAAGUCAGGCAUUUUGCAGAACCCAGGCUAGAAGUGCAUUGUGAGCACAGGGGGAUGGAGUGGGGGGGCCAUCACUCAGCGGCCGUCUCGCCCAGUCUCCACCCUGUUCAUCUUUCCUCUCUGUAGUCUGGCUUUCGCUGCCUCUGGUAGGUAGCAGGGCCGAAGAUGCUUCCAAACACCUGCUCAGAUCUAACAUCUCUGAGCUGCCAUUCUAAAUCCCCAGGAGACAACGUGAUUUGUUCCCCUGGGGCCACAAGGCUAAGGCCAGGGAGUGUGGGUGUCCAUUCUCAGAGAAGGCAGAGUUUGGGUGGCUGGGCAGACCCCCAAAAGUCAUGCUGGAGUGCUCUGGAGAGGUGUCCAGCUCUAGAUAUUGUCAGCACCCAUGUUCUGGAGAGACGGUGCUGAGAGGUCUGCCCUUUAAAGUAAUACAUUGGCUUCGCAUUUAUAAGUCUUCUGUGGCGUUAUUAAAUCCAUAAAUAAAGAUUUAAUCUUUUAAGCUCUGCAUUGUGAGGGCAGAAGUUAAAGGGCAGGCAGAGGAGAGCUCAUCAGCGUUGGUUUGGUGGGGU